GUGCUUGCUUCAGUAGCAUGUAUACUAAAAUUGGAACAAUACAAAGAAGAUUAGCAUGCCCUCUGCACAAUGAUGACAUGCAAAUUUGUAAAGCAUUCCAUAUUUUU
ensembl:snRNA U6 U6 spliceosomal RNA